rnacentral:rRNA from 1 species
AUGCACGCUGGCGGCGUGCCUCAUACAUGCAAGUCGAGCGAACGGACGAGAAGCUUGCUUCUCUGAUGUUAGCGGCGGACGGGCGAGUAACACGUGGAUAACCUACCUAUAAGACUGGGAUAACUUCGGGAAACCGGAGCUAAUACCGGAUAAUAUUUUGAACCGCAUGGUUCAAAAGUGAAAGACGGUCUUGCUGUCACUUAUAGAUGGAUCCGCGCUGCAUUAGCUAGUUGGUAAGGUAACGGCUUACCAAGGCAACGAUGCAUAGCCGACCUGAGAGGGUGAUCGGCCACACUGGAACUGAGACACGGUCCAGACUCCUACGGGAGGCAGCAGUAGGGAAUCUUCCGCUAUGGGCGAAAGCCUGACGGAGCAACGCCGCGUGAGUGAUGAAGGUCUUCGGAUCGUAAAACUCUGUUAUUAGGGAAGAACAUAUGUGUAAGUAACUGUGCACAUCUUGACGGUACCUAAUCAGAAAGCCACGGCUAACUACGUG